rnacentral:rRNA from 1 species
AUUGAACGCUGGCGGCAGGCCUAACACAUGCAAGUCGAGCGGAGCGGCGGACGGACGAGUAAUGCCCAGGAAUCUGCCUGGUCGUGGGGGAUAACGUCCGGAAACGGGCGCUAAUACCGCAUACUAUCAGAUGAGCCUAGGUCGUAUUUGAUCGUUGGUGGGGUAAAGGCCUACCAAGGCGACGAUCCGUAACUGGUCUGAGAGGAUGAUCAGUCACACUGGAACUGAGACACGGUCCAGACUCCUACGGGAGGCAGCAGUGGGGAAUAUUGCACAAUGGGCGCAAGCCUGAUGCAGCCAUGCCGCGUGUAUGAAGAAGGCCUUCGGGUUGUAAAGUACUUUCAGCGGGGAGGCGUUACCCGCAGAAGAAGCACCGGCUAACUCCGUGCCAGCAGCCGCGGUAAUUC